rfam:Lentisphaera araneosa HTCC2155 1101329224545, whole genome shotgun sequence.
GUCCGGGCCCCCUGCGGCGUCUGCGUUCCGAACCUGGUCAGGCGGGGAACCGAGCAGCCAUAAGGAACAAUGUCGGGUGCAGGCGGUUAACCCGGGCUGU